AUCCGGAUGGCACAAUGGUUAAUGCACCUGCCUAGUAAGCAGGAGAUCCGGGGUUCGAAUCCCGGUUCGGUACA